ensembl:lncRNA
GGCACUGACGUCUGAGGCCUCCCAGAGACCACAAGCAGAUCCAUCCGUCUUGUCUUGUUAACAGCAGCAGACCAGCAGCACGAGGCCCAAACUUCCCCUUUCGCUGUCUGCGGCGCUCCGACGCGAGCGACUGCUCGGAUCGUUUCACCCGCGGCCCCUUUUCUGUCAACAGGGGGCCACAACUACAGCCUGCCAAAGCUUUUAUUCGACUUCCUGCACCGCCGCGCCAUUAACGCGGCCUAUUAUUUACUGUAAUGUCACGCUCCCCUCACACGGAUGUUGGGGGCCGGGGGGGGGGGGCGUUAAGCUGUGGAGCUUACUUGCAGGAUGGAGAGCGCGCUGAUGACACCACCCUCCUGGAAUGUGGAGACAAAGCCGGAGCAGUUGCACAAGCGGGGGGAAGACACAGGACCGUAAAUCAGGACGGGAGGCUGAACCACCAGAGGAGGUUCUCCAGAUCUAACCUCCUUCACACUUGUCAGACAUCUGGAAAGAGUUAUUUUUUCCCGUUACGGUAUCAAAGGUUUCGACCCUCCUAAAAACCACGGAAAUGCAACGACCACGAAUUGAA